rfam:Brachypodium distachyon strain Bd21 chromosome 2, whole genome shotgun sequence.
GAAGUACUCCCUCCGUCAAACAAAAUAUGUUUCAACUUUUACUAAAUUAGAAUGCAUCUAUAUAUUAAGUCAUGUCUACAUACAUCUAAAUUUUGAUAAACUUGAGACAUCUUUUGUUGGACGGAGAGAAUACUAG